rnacentral:rRNA from 1 species
AGUAUUAGCCUUUAAACCAUUAAAAUUUGGCGGUUACAAUAUUUUAGAGAAACUCGUUUUUUAAUCGACACCACUCGAUAAAUUUCACUUAAUUAAUUUAUAUACCGCCGUUUCAGAACUCUUUUAAAAAAGGAUUCAAAAUCAACAAUAUAUAAAAAUCAGGUCAAGGUGUAAUUUAUGUUUAAGGAAAAAUAAGUUACAAAUAAUUUGAAAUUAAGGAUUAAAUAUUAAAUUUUUAAGGAAAAAGAAUUUAAAAUUAAUUU